rnacentral:rRNA from 1 species
UACGGAGGGUGCGAGCGUUGUCCGGAAUCAUUGGGCGUAAAGGGCGCGUAGGUGGCCCGGUCAGUCAGUGGUGAAAGCGCGGGGCUCAACUCCGCGUCGGCCAUUGAUACUGCUGGGCUUGAGCACUGUAGAGGCAGGCGGAAUUCCGGGUGUAGCGGUGGAAUGCGCAGAUAUCGGGAGGAACACCAAUGGCGAAGGCAGCUCGCUGGGACGGUACUGACGCUGAGACGCGAAAGCGUGGGGAGCAAACAGG